rnacentral:rRNA from 1 species
CACGGACUCCCGUUGCUCUGUGAUACACUCUCGACGAGUCGAGUUGUUUGGGAAUGCAGCUCUAAACGGGUGGUAAAUGCCAUCUAAAGCUAAAUAUUGGCGAGAGACCGAUAGCGAACAAGUACCGUGAGGGAAAGAUGAAAAGCACUUUGGAAAGAGAGUGAAACAGUACGUGAAAUUGUUGAAAGGGAAACGCUUGAAGUCAGUCGCGCCGUUCGGGAUUCAGCCUUGCUUCUGCUCGGUUUACUUCCCGUUGGGUGGGUCAACAUCAGUUUCGGUCGGAGGAGAAAGACUUGGGGAAGGUGGCAGCAUUCGUGCUGUGUUAUAGCCCCUUGUUGUAUACUUCGACUGGGACUGAGGAUCGCAGCNCGCCUUUGNCCGGGGUUCGCCCACGUAC